CAGUCAUAUUUAUCAUUCUUCUCUCUGUUUUCUCUCUCUAAAAUACCUAGGGUUUCAUAUCUUAGAUUCAUCUUGAAUCUGAGAUUUCCGUUUUUGAGAUUCGGUGUUCGGGAUUAUCGUGUUGAUAAUCCUAGUGUGUGAGAGUUGAGAGUUUUGUGAGUGAUUUUGUUCUGUUCUUUCUCAGUAUUUGUAGUAAUCAUCAAACUUCCAGGGUAACAAAGAUCUUUGGGUUGGGUUUCUUAUGUUAAUUACAUGUUAAUUUACUUGGUUGAUACCAAUUUUGACAACCUUUUUCAUGGUGUAUUCAUAGCAAAUUAAUCUUGUAUUCUUGUGUAUCUCUCAGUCUUAACCAUCUUUCACUCCCCUGUUUUAAAGAGAUAUUAGAGACUGUUCUUUACACAUCUAUGAACUUGCAAUUGCUUGAUUUCAUUUUUUUUUUAAUUAUUACUUGAUCCACGAAUAUGGAUACUUUCUUACAGCAGUUUCAACAUCUUAAAAUACAACUAGAAGAUAUAAUAGCAGCCACCGACAACUUCAACGAUGAUAACUGUAUUGGACGUGGUGGUUUUGGGAAUGUUUAUAAAGGAGAACUGUCUCACUCUAAGGGGCGAAGCAUGGUUGCUAUCAAGCGUCUGGAUCGGAGGCAUGGACAAGGAAUACCCGAGUUCUUGAAAGAGAUCACAACGCUUUCCAGUUACAGCCAAGAAAAUCUCAUCUCUCUUCUGGGAUUUUGUUACCAAGGGGAUGAGAUGAUCCUGGUAUAUGACUAUGCAUCUCGUGGAAGCCUUGACCGCUAUUUAAAUUCCCCUCAUCUUACGUGGUUACAGCGUCUCAAGAUAUGCCUCGAUGCAGCAGAGGGAUUAAGGUACCUUCAUGAUCCAAGGGGGGCACACCAAAGACUUAUCCACUGUGACGUAAAAAGCGCCAACAUCCUACUUGAUGACAACUGGAAUGGCAAAGUCUCUGACUUUGGAUUUAUCAAUAAUGGGUCCCGCAAACGAGCAGCAAUCGGUUAUUGUCACCAUGGCAGCAGGUACCCUUGGGUACUGUGAUCCGCAGUAUGCGAUGACGCACACCCUAACAAAAGAGUCAGACGUAUACUCUUUCGGUGUGGUCUUAUUCGAAGUUUUAUGUGGGAGGUUAUGUUGUACAUAUAGCAAUGGUCGUGUUCAGCAGAAUUUAGUGCGCACGUGGAUUGAAUGCUAUAAAGAGAAGAAGUUAAAUGAUAUCAUCUUUGAAGAUACAACCAUUCAACCACUGGAGCAGAGUGCUUUAAAUUUUUUUUCUGAUAUUGCAUAUCGAUGUUUGAAUGAAUCUCGUAAAGAUCGGCCAAGGAUGGAUGAGGUUGUGACAGAACUUGCGACUGCACUCCGAUAUCAGAAGCAAUUUCAAGAUCUUAAAAUCCCGCUGGAAGAGAUAACAUUAGCCACCAACCACUUCAAUGUUGAGAAGAACUAUAUUGGAGAUGGUGCUUUUGGGAAGGUUUAUAGAGGAGAAGUGUCUCACUCUAAGGGCCGAAGCAUGACUGCUAUUAAGCGUAUAGAUCCGAAGUUCUUGAAAAAGAUCAGGAUUCUUUCUUGUUACAGGCAUGAAAAUAUUGUCUCUCUUCUGGGAUUUUGUUACCAAGGGGAUGAGAUGAUCCUUGUGUACGAGCAUGUGUCUCGUGGAAGCCUUGACCGCUAUUUGGACUCCCCUCAUCUCACGUGGUCACAACGUCUAAAGAUAUGUUUGGAUGCCGCAAAGGGGCUAAGGUACCUUCAUGAUCAAAGGGGGAGACACCAAAAACUUAUCCACUAUGUUGUAAAAAGCGCCAGCAUCCUACUUGAUGACCAAUGGAAUGCUAAAGUUUCUGACGUUGGAUUAUCAAGAAUGGGCCCCGCUAAUGAGCAGAACUCUGUUAUUGUCACAGUUGCAGAAAGUAACCCCGGGUACUGUGAUCCACAGUAUGCGAUGACACACACCCUAACGAAAAAGUCGGAUGUAUACUCUUUUGGUGUGGUCUUAUUCGAAGUUUUAUGUGGGAGAUUAUGCUAUACGCUUGAUAGCAAAGAUCAUGUUAAGGAGAUCUUAGUGACCACGUGGAUUAAGAGCUAUGAACAGAACAAGUUAAAUGAUAUCAUCUUCAAAGAUCCGACCAUUCAACCAUUGGAGCAGAGUACUUUAGAUAUAUUUUCAGACAUUGCGUAUCAAUGUUUGAAGGAAUCUCAUGAAGAUCGGCCAAAGAUGGCUGAGGUUGUGGCAGAACUUGAGAGAAGUCUAGAUUUACUCAAUUAUCAAGAGUUUAUAGGUGAAUGGAACAAACAAUGUCCUCUGAACUACAGAUCUGACAUUGAACCGAUGAAGUUUCAGUCCAAAGGGAUCCUCCGUAACAGCGGCAAAACGUGGUUUUCAUUGAAUAAGAAGGGAGAACACUGUGAGAUGAUAUCUAUUGCAGAAUGUUUGGGUUCAGAUGUCGUGUUUGCAGAAUGGCACAGAUUCUCAUCUGAAUAUAAUUCAAGAUUUGCUGUGGGCACCUACCACUGGUUUGGAGGCGUAUUGAGAACACAUGCAAAAACUCAGUUCUUGUCACCAGGAAUCACAUACGCGGUGAACCUUGUGUUCAAAUAUUAUAGAGAAGGGAAGAGAAGAUGUGAACCUAUAUUCCUUAAAUACAGAUUACAAGGGGAGAGAGAGAGUUCAAUUUCAUACAUUGCAUAUGAGAGAGAAGAUGGAUGGUGGGCAUGUGAAUUGUAUCAGUUUACUACUGACCACAUAACAGUUGAUCUUCAGAUUUUGUUUGAGGGCUUCGAUAAUAGUGCUUACUUCAAAGUAGAAGUAGAAGGCAUUGAAUUCCAGCCCUUGGAGAAUGAGGAACAUAUAGAUGACAAGCAACCCAUCUCAGAUUUAGAUUCAGAUUCAGAUGCAAAUUGGGAAGAAAAACUGCCAGCUGAUUAUGAAGACAUAAUGAAGUUGUCAAAAAAAGGGAUUUUUGAUUAUUUUCCAUGGACAGCGAAGAAGAAAAAGAAGAAGAAGAGAAAAGCGUACGCAAUUCUUUGCGAAGGGUUCUUAACCAAUGAUGGCAGGAAGUUGUUGGUGGAGCCUAUGAAUAUGGUUCCACAUGAGGGGAGAAUUAUAUAUUGAAUUGCUAAACAUAUCUAUAUACUCGUUGCUUGAUAUAUAGUGGUUUUCUCUUGACAAAAAUGGGAAGAAAUGUCACAUGCUAUCAGCGGCUCUCAUAUGGAGUUGGAAAAAAAAAGUGUUACUACCUGAAUCAAGAUUUAGACAAGCCAUUCAGUGGGUGGAUAAUUGGUGUAUUAAUAUCAAAACAGAAGUCCGGUCCCAACUAGUAUCAUCUGAAACAACAUAUGCAUGUUACCUUGUCUACAAAUUACCAGAAGACGAAUAUGGAUUUGAGGGUCCUGUGAAAGUCGAAGAUAAAGUAUGUGACACCGGAUAUACUAUUUGGUAUAUCUAUUUAACUACUCCUCAAACCCCAAUUAUUAGACCAAAGGUUGGUCAAAACACCCACAAACCACUCAAUUUGCCGAAAUAUAACGGCCUUCCACGCCAAAGGAAGGAUGGAUGGAUUGAAGUGAAAAUUUGGGAAUUCCAAGCUGCCACUACAGUCAUCAUGGAUUUGACUUUGAACUUUUGUGACCAUAAGGCAUUUAGUGGGCUUAUUAUAGAAGGCAUUGAGUUUAGACCCAUAUAGAUUUUUUUUUUGGUUAUAAUGGACAAAAAUUAAGUGUAAACACAAAAUUUGUUUUCUUUUUUCUAUACUAGUAGUGAAACCCGUAUACAAACACAGGUUGUUUUUAGAAAA